UUCAUGGUCAUCUGGAUCAAGGAAGAGACGUCAUGGAAGAAGAGUGUGGUGGAAGAAAAGUUCACCUCAUAGUGGCCAGAAGCACAGAGCAGGAAAGAGUCCAAGAAGAGGCCAAAGAUCAAAUGUGGUCCCAAGGCCAGGCUGUAAUGACCUGCUUCCUCCAAGAAGGCUCCACAUCUCAGUGCCCCAUUGAGCAUUGAACUCUCCAAUGGUUGAAUCCAUUCAUGAGAUCCCAAGGAAAAUCCUAUUGUUUGGCUAGUAGGUGUGGUCUGAAAGCUGGGGUGAAGUUUUGAAGCUGAAAUUCUCAAGAGAAUGACAGGUUUUGUGCUAUGCCAUGGGCACCUAUUCCUCUGCCAUGCUGUCCUGCCUGGAAGCCAUCAGACUACGGACUGAAACCUCUAUAUAAACUUUUGUCAGCUGCUGAGUGGUGUAAAAUUCUUUUGCCGAGGAACAAGACCAUCCCAGUCAACUCCAUCCCACAGCCUGGCCAGUCAGCAGAGCGGACACCAUCUUAGGCCUCUUAUUUUUUCUUUUGCCCAAGUGUCUGAAAGGAGCAUCCUCUUUAAUUUAAGCCUACAUGUGGAGUGAACAUCCUUGCCUGUGACUCCCGAACAACAUAAACAGCUGUUUCUUGAAGACAGACAAGGAAGAGUAAAAUGGUUGGGAGAGAGAGAGUCUAUACAUUAAUGUCCAGCACCGAGUGAGCCCUUGUGAAGUGUGGACCUUGGAGAGCAUGUCAAGCAGUCUCAUUCAUUUUAACAAAUGCACCGUACUGGUGGGGGAUGAGGAGAAAGGACCAGGUGGGGGCACAAGAGUUAUGGGAACAAACAGAUGAUUCAGACUUCAGACAGGGGUCUGUGCAACCUUCUAGAGAACUCAGACUGUCCUUCUCCAUGGAAGGAAGAAUGCUGCAACCUGUUUCCUGAGAUGAAGUAUGGCUCUUAGAGACGGGCAUUUGGUGCACAGACUUCGGCCGGAAUACCUUUGCUCCUCCACACGUUCUAACUGGCAAAAACAACCUCAGACUGCAGUAGGGAAAUAUCUGAAAUGAUCCUGCAAGAUAUUUGUCUCCUCAACUUGGAUAUACUCUGAAGCUAAAGCUUUACUUCUAAUGAGUAGCAUAUAGUAAGAAUGCCAGCUGCAAUGCUGUGAGCCUCUCCACAGGAGGCCCACAGAGUGAGGAACUAGGAGAGGCACCUGUCAUCAGCCAGUGAGCAUGAAGGCCCUUGGUCCAAUGGCUUAAGAACUGGAUUCUGCACGAACACCCUGUGAC
rnacentral:lncRNA from 1 species